CUACGGGACGCUCCAGUGGGGAAUAUUGCACAAUGGAGGAAACUCUGAUGCAGCAACGCCGCGUGGAGGAUGACACUUUUCGGAGCGUAAACUCCUUUUAUAUAGGAAGAUAAUGACGGUACUAUAUGAAUAAGCACCGGCUAACUCCGUGCCAGCAGCCGCGGUAAUACGGAGGGUGCAAGCGUUACUCGGAAUCACUGGGCGUAAAGAGCGUGUAGGCGGGUUAAUAAGUCAGAAGUGAAAUCCUAUGGCUCAACCAUAGAACUGCUUUUGAAACUGUUAACCUAGAAUAUGGGAGAGGUAGAUGGAAUUUCUGGUGUAGGGGUAAAAUCCGUAGAGAUCAGAAGGAAUACCGAUUGCGAAGGCGAUCUACUGGAACAUUAUUGACGCUGAGACGCGAAAGCGUGGGGAGCAAACAGGAUUAGAUACCCUAGUAGUC
rnacentral:rRNA from 1 species